rnacentral:rRNA from 1 species
AGAUUAGAGUUUGAUCAUGGCUCAGAUUGAACGCUGGCGGCAGGCCUAACACAUGCAAGUCGAGCGGUAGAGAGAAGCUUGCUUCUCUUGAGAGCGGCGGACGGGUGAGUAAUGCCUAGGAAUCUGCCUGGUAGUGGGGGAUAACGUUCGGAAACGGACGCUAAUACCGCAUACGUCCUACGGGAGAAAGCAGGGGACCUUCGGGCCUUGCGCUAUCAGAUGAGCCUAGGUCGGAUUAGCUAGUUGGUGGGGUAAUGGCUCACCAAGGCGACGAUCCGUAACUGGUCUGAGAGGAUGAUCAGUCACACUGGAACUGAGACACGGUCCAGACUCCUACGGGAGGCAGCAGUGGGGAAUAUUGGACAAUGGGCGAAAGCCUGAUCCAGCCAUGCCGCGUGUGUGAAGAAGGUCUUCGGAUUGUAAAGCACUUUAAGUUGGGAGGAAGGGCAGUAAAUUAAUACUUUGCUGUUUUGACGUUACCGACAGAAUAAGCACCGGCUAACUCUGUGCCAGCAGCCGCGGUAAUACAGAGGGUGCAAGCGUUAAUCGGAAUUACUGGGCGUAAAGCGCGCGUAGGUGGUUAGUUAAGUUGGAUGUGAAAUCCCCGGGCUCAACCUGGGAACUGCAUUCAAAACUGACUGACUAGAGUAUGGUAGAGGGUGGUGGAAUUUCCUGUGUAGCGGUGAAAUGCGUAGAUAUAGGAAGGAACACCAGUGGCGAAGGCGACCACCUGGACUGAUACUGACACUGAGGUGCGAAAGCGUGGGGAGCAAACAGGAUUAGAUACCCUGGUAGUCCACGCCGUAAACGAUGUCAACUAGCCGUUGGGAGCCUUGAGCUCUUAGUGGCGCAGCUAACGCAUUAAGUUGACCGCCUGGGGAGUACGGCCGCAAGGUAAAACUCAAAUGAAUUGACGGGGCCCGCACAAGCGGGAGAACAUUGUUGUUUAAUUCGAUGAUACGCGGAGGAACCCUUACCGGGCUUUGAAUGUACAUGAAUUACCGUUGAAAGAAUGUAAAGCUAGCAAUUGGCCAUUGAAU